CCAAGAACCUGGACACCCUCCACCGGUGACACAGCCAUGUGGAACUGUCUAACCAUAAAAUCAUCAAUACUGAGAAAUUAAAAGGGGAACAUGUCAGGCCUCACUCUUUCUGUAUUGGAUUUCAAGAGUAUUGUCCUUGGUGAGGAAGACAAAGUGAGUGGGCUCAGUAACUCGCCCGAGUCACAGAGUCAAAGCAGGAGCUGGACCCAGAUAGUCCAGAGCUCAUGCUCGUACACACUUCACUUCGCUAUCCUGAAUAAAAAAACCAAGACUCCAGGAGGGCUGCAGCUUCGUCCAAGGUGUCGUGACUUGCCCACAGCCACCCUCUUGGCAAAUGACCCAGUAAACUCCACCUCCAGCUCCUCUACCUCC
rnacentral:lncRNA from 1 species